CCUACGAGCGGCAGCAGUCGAGAAUAAUUCACAAUGGGGGACACCCUGAUGGUGCGACGCCGCGUGGGGGAAUGAAGGUCUUCGGAUUGUAAACCCCUGUCAUGUGGGAGCAAAUUAAAAAGAUAGUACCACAAGAGGAAUAGACGGCUAACUCUGUGCCCGCAGCCGCGGUAAUACAGAGGUCUCAAGCGUUGUUCGGAAUCCCUGGGCGUAAAGCGUGCGUAGGCUGUUUCGUAAGUCGUGUGUGAAAGGCGCGGGCUCAACCCGCGGACGGAACCUGAUACUGCGAGACUAGAGUAAGGGAGGGGGAACCGGAAUUCUCGGUGUAGCAGUGAAAUGCGGAGAUAUCGAGAGGAACACUCGUGGCGAAGGCGGGUUCCUGGACAUUAACUGACGCUGAGGCACGAAGGCCAGGGGAGCGAAAGGGAUUAGAUACCCUAGUAGUC
rnacentral:rRNA from 1 species